rnacentral:rRNA from 1 species
GAUGAACGCUGGCGGCGUGCCUAAUACAUGCAAGUCGAGCGAACAGACGAGGAGCUUGCUCCUCUGACGUUAGCGGCGGACGGGUGAGUAACACGUGGAUAACCUACCUAUAAGACUGGGAUAACUUCGGGAAACCGGAGCUAAUACCGGAUAAUAUAUUGAACCGCAUGGUUCAAUAGUGAAAGACGGUUUUGCUGUCACUUAUAGAUGGUUCCGCGCCGCAUUAGCUAGUUGGGAAGGUAAAGGCUUACCAAGGCAACGAUGCGUAGCCGACCUGGAGGGGUGAUCGGCCACACUGGAACUGAGACACGGUCCAGACUCCUACGGGAGGCAGCAGUAGGGAAUCUUCCGCAAUGGGCGAAAGCCUGACGGAGCAACGCCGCGUGAGUGAUGAAGGUCUUCGGAUCGUAAAACUCUGUUAUUAGGGAAGAACAAAUGUGUAAGUAACUAUGCACGUCUUGACGGUACCUAAUCAGAAAGCCACGGCUAACUACGUG